AUUGAACGCUGGCGGCAUGCCUUACACAUGCAAGUCGAACGGCAGCACGGGUGCUUGCCCCUGGUGGCGAGUGGCGAACGGGUGAGUAAUACAUCGGAACAUGUCCUGUAGUGGGGGAUAGCCCGGCGAAAGCCGGAUUAAUACCGCAUACGAUCUACGGAUGACAGCGGGGGACCUUCGGGCCUCGCGCUAUAGGGUUGGCCGAUAGCUGAUUAGCUCGUUGGUGGGGUAAAGGCCUACCAAGGCGACGAUCAGUAGCUGGUCUGAGAGGACGACCAGCCACACUGGGACUGAGACACGGCCCAGACUCCUACGGGAGGCAGCAGUGGGGAAUUUUGGACAAUGGGCGAAAGCCUGAUCCAGCAAUGCCGCGUGUGUGAAGAAGGCCUUCGGGUUGUAAAGCACUUUUGUCCGGAAAGAAAUCCUUGGCUCUAAUACAGUCGGGGGAUGACGGUACCGGAAGAAUAAGCACCGGCUAACUACGUG
rnacentral:rRNA from 1 species